rnacentral:rRNA from 1 species
UACAGAGGGUGCAAGCGUUGCUCGGAUUUACUGGGCGUAAAGCGUACGCAGACGGUAAGAAAGGUCGGAUGUGAAAGCCCCGGGCUCAACCCGGGAACUGCAUCCGAAACCAUCUUGCUAGAGUAUGGGAGAGGGAAGCGGAAUUCCUGGUGUAGAGGUGAAAUUCGUAGAUAUCAGGAGGAACACCAGUGGCGAAGGCGGCUUCCUGGAACCGGUUCUGACACUGAGGAGCGAAAGCGUGGGGAGCGAUCCGG